UACGUAGGUGACAAGCGUUGUCCGGAUUUACUGGGCGUAAAGAGCGCGCAGGCGGUCGAUCAAGUCGAGUGUGAAAGCCCCCGGCUCAACUGGGGAGGGUCAUUCGAUACUGAUCGACUCGAAGGCAGGAGAGGGUAGUGGAAUUCCCGGUGUAGUGGUGAAAUGCGUAGAUAUCGGGAGGAACACCAGUGGCUAAGGCGGCUCUCUAGUACGGUACUGACGCUGAGACGCGAAAGCGUGGGGAGCGAACAGG
rnacentral:rRNA from 1 species